GACGAACGCUGGCGGCGUGCCUAAUACAUGCAAGUAGAACGCUGAAGGAGGAGCUUGCUUCUCUGGAUGAGUUGCGAACGGGUGAGUAACGCGUAGGUAACCUGCCUGGUAGCGGGGGAUAACUAUUGGAAACGAUAGCUAAUACCGCAUAAGAGUAGAUGUCGCAUGACAUUUGCUUAAAAGGUGCAAUUGCAUCACUACCAGAUGGACCUGCGUUGUAUUAGCUAGUUGGUGAGGUAACGGCUCACCAAGGCAACGAUACAUAGCCGACCUGAGAGGGUGAUCGGCCACACUGGGACUGAGACACGGCCCAGACUCCUACGGGAGGCAGCAGUAGGGAAUCUUCGGCAAUGGACGGAAGUCUGACCGAGCAACGCCGCGUGAGUGAAGAAGGUUUUCGGAUCGUAAAGCUCUGUUGUAAGAGAAGAACAAGUGUGAGAGUGGAAAGUUCACACUGUGACGGUAUCUUACCAGAAAGGGACGGCUAACUACGUG
rnacentral:rRNA from 1 species